rnacentral:rRNA from 1 species
UACGUAGGGUCCGAGCGUUGUCCGGAAUUAUUGGGCGUAAAGAGCUUGUAGGUGGUUUUGUCGCGUCUGCUGUGAAAAAUCCGAGGCUCAACCUCGGACUUGCAGUGGGUACGGGCAGACUAGAGUGUGGUAGGGGGAGACUGGAAUUCCUGGUGUAGCGGUGGAAUGCGCAGAUAUCAGGAGGAACACCGGUGGCGAAGGCGGUUCUCUGGGCAUUACCUGACGCUGAGGAGCGAAAGUGUGGGGGAGCGAACAGG